UGGGGAAUUUUGGACAAUGGGGGAAACCCUGAUCCAGCCAUCCCGCGUGUGCGAUGAAGGCCUUCGGGUUGUAAAGCACUUUUGGCAGGAAAGAAACGUCAUGGGUUAAUACCCCGUGAAACUGACGGUACCUGCAGAAUAAGCACCGGCUAACUACGUGCCAGCAGCCGCGGUAAUACGUAGGGCGCAAGCGUUAAUCGGAAUUACUGGGCGUAAAGCGUGCGCAGGCGGUUCGGAAAGAAAGAUGUGAAAUCCCAGAGCUCAACUUUGGAACUGCAUUUUUAACUACCGGGCUAGAGUGUGUCAGAGGGAGGUGGAAUUCCGCGUGUAGCAGUGAAAUGCGUAGAUAUGCGGAGGAACACCGAUGGCGAAGGCAGCCUCCUGGGAUAACACUGACGCUCAUGCACGAAAGCGUGGGGAGCAAACAGG
rnacentral:rRNA from 1 species